GGAGUGGGAGACGCUGGCUCAGGAUAAUAAUAAUGGCAGUUUCUCUCAUCUGUGUUUUCAGGGCGUGGACUGGAACUCCCAGUGCCCCUGACAUGGGCUGAGUCAACGUAAUCGUAAACAUGUGACAGGAGGCAGCAGAAGUUGCAGAGAAGAGUGAGGCACGUUUGAAAAAUGCUGAAGAAUGAAAAGUGUUUCUGUCCAGGUGAGGGUGUCUGCUGAAUGACUUGGAUUUUUUGGUGCAUUAAAUGAACAGCACGACGUCAGACACCUGCUGACCCAUCACUCCAGGGCCCGGGCCGGCAUGUGGAUGGAGAGAGAGGGAGAAGACCAGGCACGAGACUGUGGAGAGCCACACCACCAGAAAUCCCUGCCCGAUUCACCGUCCAGCCCACACCUGUGGAUGCACAGGGAGUUGCAGGCAGGGCUCCCACGGCGGACUCAGGAACAGGCAGGGCAGCUGCUGCCUCGCCAGGUGAAGGGACCAGGAUGGGGAGGCAGAGAGGCCUGUCCAGCCCCUGUGGCUGUUACCAUGGGUGCCUCCUCACUGCCCAGUGCGGCC